rnacentral:tRNA from 1 species
GGUCUCGUAGCUCAAUGGAUAGAGCAGUCCCGUCCUAAGGGAAAGGUUGGGAGUUCGACUCUCCCCGAGACCG